rnacentral:lncRNA from 10 species
ACAAACACACACAGGCCUGAGCUCCGGAUAUUUCUCCUGUUCUGGAGACAGUGAGAAGUGAAAGAGAAAUGGCUGCCCCUGCACCACUUACCGCGAAGGAGGCUCAAGGCUGGGGGGCCCCUCUGCCUUCCAGUGACCGCCCGUGUCACAUCCUGACCCGCUCAGCAGGAGAACACAGCAGGUCCCUCCGACCGCAGUCGGCCUCUCCAGCCUGCCAUGCCUCUGGCCAUGAGGCGACCCGCUGGAGUGAUGGAUUCCCGUCACUACCACCCACAGGGCGAGGGGGUGCAUUGGUCUGCUUGGGCCGCUGUAACAAAAUGCCACAGCCUGGAUGAGUGACUGACAUUGCUUCCCCACCGUUCUGGAGGCUGGAGGCCCGAGAUCGAGGUCCCUGACACUAUUUCAGUGAUGCCAGAGCCCAGGAGGAGUCGACCAAGCCCCAGCGUGGCCAUAAGCACCUUCGCAGGACCACGGAGUCGCUGCAGGUGUUCAGCCCUGUUGAGAGUGGGAGUCGGUGUCGAUGGUCACAGCUCAGUAACUCAUCGUCACCAGCGAGUACCACAGAGCAGACACAACUGCACUUCUCUGUAGAGCCUCCAGUCGAUACUGAGAGCCACUGGGGCGUCUGACACCCAAGGGUGCAGACAUUCACUCCAAGUCCAGAGACCGCGCCCUUUCUAAGGCCCUGUCUCACAGUCGCCCCGUGCUCAUUGUGCCGGAUGUUUCCACAGCCACAGAGACGGUGCGUGAAGGUGAGGUGCAGCCUAGUGCAUAUGACUGACAGAAACGUGAAGCCACAGUGGACGCCUGGAUGAGACACAGAUCACCUUCCAAAUCUGAGUGUGGCCUUGGGACCAACCAGGCAGCCAGGGAGAAGGCAGAGACCAGAGGGAACCCAGGUGCCCUCAAUCCCAGCCUCCUCUAUCCCAGCCUCCCAAUCCCAGCCUCCCCAAUCCCAGCCUCCUAAUCCCAGCCUCCUCCAUCCCAGGACCCCCACUCCCAGCCUCCCGAUCCCAGCUUCUCUGAUCCCAGCCUCCCCUAAAACCCAGACUCUAUGAAUCCCAGCCUCUGAGGUGGGAACUGUUAGUAACCCCACUCCAUGGACAAGAAAGCUGGGGCCUGGCGAGGCUAACAGACUAUCCUGAUGGUGUGAGGGAGGGAUCGGCCUCUGAGGGCUGCUUCCACCCAUCUCACCAGUGGCUGCAGGCUCCAGGCGCCACUUUCCUUGAGUCUAUGUUCUUUCCAAGCAUCCUGCAGCUCCAGAAGCUCUGGAGCCGCCAGCACUGAGAGAAGCGAUGGAGCUGCAUGCAGGGAAACUUUGUUGACAGCGGUGUCUGGAUGGACCAGCAGAGGGCACUCUCACCCACGGGGAAAAUCGUGCGCCCGGCCUCGUCCACCGCCAGAAGACGCCGCUACACAAUGGAGUCUCGCUCUGUCGACCAGGCUGGAGUGCAAUGGUGCGAUCUCGGCUCACUGCAAUCUCUGCCUCCCGGUGAGAGGUGAAGCCAGCUGGACUUCCUGGGUCUAGUGGGGACUUGGAGAACUUUUCUGUCUAGCUAAAGAUUUGUAAAUGCACCAAUCAGUGCUGUGUCUAGCUAAAGUUUGUAAACGUACCAAUCAGCACUCUGUAAAAAUGGGCCAAUCAGCACUCUGUAAAAUGGACCAAUCAGCACUCUGUAAAAUGGACCAGUCAGCAGGAUGUGGGCGGGGUCAAAUAAAGGAAUAAAAAGCUGGUAGCCGAGCCGGCAGUGGCAAACCGUUUGGGUCCUUCUCGGUACCCUGGUGGCUUUGUUGUUUUGCUC